rnacentral:rRNA from 1 species
UGGGGAAUUUUGGACAAUGGGCGAAAGCCUGAUCCAGCAAUGCCGCGUGUGUGAAGAAGGCCUUCGGGUUGUAAAGCACUUUUGUCCGGAAAGAAAUCCUUGGCUCUAAUACAGUCGGGGGAUGACGGUACCGGAAGAAUAAGCACCGGCUAACUACGUGCCAGCAGCCGCGGUAAUACGUAGGGUGCAAGCGUUAAUCGGAAUUACUGGGCGUAAAGCGUGCGCAGGCGGUUUGCUAAGACCGAUGUGAAAUCCCGGGCUCAACCUGGGAACUGCAUUGGUGACUGGCAGGCUAGAGUAUGGCAGAGGGGGGUAGAAUUCCACGUGUAGCAGUGAAAUGCGUAGAGAUGUGGAGGAAUACCGAUGGCGAAGGCAGCCCCCUGGGCCAAUACUGACGCUCAUGCACGAAAGCGUGGGGAGCAAACAGGAUUAGAUACCCUGGUAGUCCACGCCCUAAACGAUGUCAACUAGUUGUUGGGGAUUCAUUUCCUUAGUAACGUAGCUAACGCGUGAAGUUGACCGCCUGGGGAGUACGGUCGCAAGAUUAAAACUUCAAAUGGAAUUGACGGGGUCAUAGCUGUUUCCU